rnacentral:sRNA from 1 species
AAAAUGCACCACUCUAUUUAUCCACAGAACAGGUACACCAUAUAUAGUAGCAGUAUAAGCUUUCUGACACCACUUUGCCAAUGAACCUGAUAUGAAGUGACCACAUCUGAGUGGGAGAAGUUAGUUUAGGCUUUGACUUUAGCUUAG